AAUGGGCGAAAGCCUGACGGAGCAACGCCGCGUGAGGGAUGAAGGCCUCUGGGCUGUAAACCUCUUUUAUCAAGGAAGAAGAUCCGACGGUACUUGAUGAAUAAGCCACGGCUAAUUCCGUGCCAGCAGCCGCGGUAAUACGGGAGUGGCAAGCGUUAUCCGGAAUUAUUGGGCGUAAAGCGUCCGCAGGCGGUCCUUCAAGUCUGCUGUUAAAAAGUGGAGCUUAACUCCAUCAUGGCAGUGGAAACUGUUGGGCUUGAGUGCGGUAGGGGCAGAGGGAAUUCCCGGUGUAGCGGUGAAAUGCGUAGAUAUCGGGAAGAACACCAGUGGCGAAGGCGCUCUGCUGGGCCAUCACUGACGCUCAUGGACGAAAGCCAGGGGAGCGAAAGGGAUU
rnacentral:rRNA from 1 species